UUGUAACUUUUUUUUAAAUAGAAGAAACAGUUGAAAUUCAAGAGCAUGAGCCAACUUUAUACCUCAACGUGUAGAAGUUAAGCCACAGGUUGAAUGUCCAAAAGCAGUCAAGCAACACAAUUUCUUCAUUACAUCCAGUGAUAAACAUAUAAAAGAUGCCUUUAAAUGGAUGAUUCAGGCAGAUAGAAGAGAUGUGAGUGAAGAGUUCUACAAAGUACAACCUGAGUUGCGUGCCUUGUACAAAAGAAGAGCUUCCCAUGCUGUGGAGAGACGCAAGGAAAUUAGAGGAAGAAAUAAUUACAAUUACCAUGGAAAUGGAGCACAAGUUUCUCUUGGCUCAGAUCAUAGGUGGAGGGAUAGAGAUGGCCACUCCAGAUAAUAUAUGUGUAUUUGUUUUGUUAAUAAAACUCACAAAUUCAGUGAACUUUGCUUGCAUGUUGACUAUAGUUUCUUUAGAUCUAGAUUUUCUAAAUUCCAGUAUUGUUUUUUGUUAUGACAGAGAAAGAUUAAAAGCUUUAGAUACUAAGCAGGAUACCAAGUUCAUACUGUAAUCAGAAAAAGGGUGCUAGAAUGAAGAGUCUUGUGCUUGUUGUAUUAUACAAAAUAAUGGAUGUUCAGAGUAUGUACAUGUCAUGCUCAAUGUGAGUUUACUUUAUUAAUAGUUUUUACACAUAAAUGGCUACACUUGUACUAAGGCACCAAUGAGGCAAUUACGAGUGCUGUCUGUCUUGUCUGUUUACUCCUUUUCUUGAUUUUCGAAAAUAUUUUACAUUAUCCCAUAUUGCUGUAAGUAAUGUCUGUAACAUUUUAGUAAUUAUAAUGCCUAAAAUAAAAAUAACAACAUCAA